ACCCGCUGAACUUAAGCAUAUCAAUAAGCGGAGGAAAAGAAACCAACAGGGAUUGCCUCAGUAACGGCGAGUGAAGCGGCAAGAGCUCAAAUUUAAAAGCCGACGUAGCUUUAAGAGACGUCCGCAUUGUAAUUUGGAGAGGCAUUCUCGGGUCGGGGCUCAGGCCUAAGUUCCUUGGAAGAGGGCGUCGUGGAGGGUGAGAACCCCGUUCGCGGCCUGCUGUCGACCUUUCCCCGAUCCACACGAGGUGCCAUCGAAGAGUCGAGUUGUUUGGGAAUGCAGCUCAAAGCGGGUGGUAAAUUCCAUCUAAAGCUAAAUAUUGACGGGAGACCGAUAGCGAACAAGUAGAGUGAUCGAAAGAUGAAAAGCACUUUGGAAAGAGAGUUAAACAGCACGUGAAAUUGUUGAAAGGGAAGCGCUUGAGACCAGUCACGGACCGAGGCGAUCAGUGGGACGUCCCUCUCGGGGGAGGAACCGCGCACUCGCUUUUCGGGUUUUCCGGGUCAACAUCGGUUGGGACGGUGUCAGAAAGGUCGCGGGAACGUGGCUCCCUUCACGGGGAGUGUUAUAGCCCGUGGCGUCAAAGUCGCCAGUUUCGACCGAGGACCGCGCUCGUCUUUUUCGAGCAAGGAUGUUGACGUAAUGGUCCC
rnacentral:rRNA from 1 species